rnacentral:rRNA from 1 species
UACAGAGGGCGCGAGCGUUGUCCGGAAUCACUGGGCGUAAAGGGCGCGUAGGUGGCCACCAUAAGGCCGCGGUGAAAGUUCGGGGCUCAACCCUGAAUCGGCCGCGGCGACUGUGGGGCUCGGGUACUGGUAGAGGCAGGUGGAAUUCCGGGUGUAGCGGUGGAAUGCGUAGAGAUCCGGAAGAACACCAGUGGCGAAGGCGGCCUGCUGGGCAGUGGGACCGAAAGGUC